UCACUCCAUUCCAUCCACUCUGGACUUCAUGAAAUGUUAACAAUGGCCCCAUUACCUAUCCUAUUCCACUCUUGGAUGCUGCUACAAUUUGUAUUAUCUGACACUGAUUCAGGGAAAGAGGUGCUGUUGAAGAAGAGUGGGGUGAAAAUUGAGGAUAAAGGGGUGGCUUCAGCUGCCACGAAUACAACUCUCUCUCAGUAAAGGAGAUGACUGCUGGCUUUCUGAUUCAUGGGCCAGACUUUUGGCAGAAGUGGGUGGCAACAUUUUUCUACCUUACUCCUGCAUGCCCUGGAACCUCUCAAAGCCUGGAAUUGGAAUGGUCAUGAGCUUGUUGAUGACUUUUGAUGGCCAGUGACUGAUAAUUCUUGCACAGAUUGGCAAACUGCUGAUGGGCAUUUCUUAUUCCCAGUGCCAAAAAAUAACUUUAUGUAUUGUGACUUUAUACCUUUUCUGUGCUUAAAUGGAAGUAUGACCAUGAAGUUUGGGUAGAGAUAAGGUUUCACCAUAGCCUAAAAGCCCACAGGCAUUGCUGGCAAUACAACAAAGGUGAAACUGUAAUAGUUUUAUUCUCAUCUCAUAGCAUUCAAAAUCAGUUUUAGAGAAAUGUGUUUUAAUAUAUUCCUCAGUCUUUUCUUCACUUAGUCAACAUGACUUCUAUAAGUAAUGCACAAAUAGCAUGUACCCAGUAAAUCAAAUCCUAGUUGAAAAUUAUCGACCAGCAUGACCAACAUGGAGAAAACCCAUCUCUACUAAAAAUACAAAAAUUAGUUGGGUGUGGUGGUGCAUGUCUGUAAUUUCAGCUACUCGGGAGGCUGAGGCAGGAGAAUCACUUGAACCCGGGAUACAGAGGUUGCAUGAGCUGAGAUCGCACCAUUGCACUCCAG
rnacentral:lncRNA from 10 species